GUUUCAAUCCCUCAUAGGUAGUCUAGUAAC
rfam:Desulfotomaculum ferrireducens strain GSS09, complete genome.